rnacentral:rRNA from 1 species
UCCGUAGGUGAACCUGCGGAAGGAUCAUUACAGAAAGUAAACGCGGAUCAAACCGCGAACUUCUAAACCUAUGACGAUCGACUCAUGUUGCCUCGGCGGGUUCUCCCGCCAGAGGAUACAUCAAAACUCCUGUUUUAACGGUGUUGUCUGAGCUACAAGCAACGAAUCAAAACUUUCAACAACGGAUCUCUUGGUUCUGGCAUCGAUGAAGAACGCAGCGAAAUGCGAUAAGUAGUGUGAAUUGCAGAAUUCAGUGAAUCAUCGAAUCUUUGAACGCACAUUGCGCCCCUUGGUAUCCCGAGGGGCAUGCCUGUUCGAGCGUCAUUUCACCACUCAAGCCUGGCUUGGUGUUGGGCGACGUCCCCUUCAGGGACGCGCCUCGAAACGCUCGGCGGCGUGGCACCGGCUUUAAGCGUAGCAGAAUCUUUCGCUUCAAAAGUCGGGGCCCCGUCUGCCGGAAGACCUACUCGCAAGGUUGACCUCGGAUCAGGCAGGGAUACCCGCUGAACUUAAGCAUAUCAAUAAGCGGAGGA